UACGAAGGGGGCUAGCGUUGCUCGGAAUCACUGGGCGUAAAGCGCACGUAGGCGGACUCUUAAGUCGGUGGUGAAAUCCUGGAGCUCAACUCCAGAAUUGCCUUCGAUACUGGCUUUCUAGAGGCUGGAAGAGGUUAGUGGAAUUCCCAGUGUAGAGGUGAAAUUCGUAGAUAUUGGGAAGAACACCAGUGGCGAAGGCGGCUAACUGGUCCAGAUCUGACGCUGAGGUGCGAAAGCGUGGGGAGCAAACAGG
rnacentral:rRNA from 1 species